rnacentral:rRNA from 1 species
GCAAGUCGAGCGGACAGAUGGGAGCUUGCUCCCUGAUGUUAGCGGCGGACGGGUGAGUAACACGUGGGUAACCUGCCUGUAAGACUGGGAUAACUCCGGGAAACCGGGGCUAAUACCGGAUGCUUGUUUGAACCGCAUGGUUCAAACAUAAAAGGUGGCUUCGGCUACCACUUACAGAUGGACCCGCGGCGCAUUAGCUAGUUGGUGAGGUAAUGGCUCACCAAGGCAACGAUGCGUAGCCGACCUGAGAGGGUGAUCGGCCACACUGGGACUGAGACACGGCCCAGACUCCUACGGGAGGCAGCAGUAGGGAAUCUUCCGCAAUGGACGAAAGUCUGACGGAGCAACGCCGCGUGAGUGAUGAAGGUUUUCGGAUCGUAAAGCUCUGUUGUUAGGGAAGAACAAGUACCGUUCGAAUAGGGCGGUACCUUGACGGUACCUAACCAGAAAGCCACGGCUAACUACGUGCCAGCAGCCGCGGUAAUACGUAGGUGGCAAGCGUUGUCCGGAAUUAUUGGGCGUAAAGGGCUCGCAGGCGGUUUCUUAAGUCUGAUGUG